GGAGGAGGAUGGGAGGAGGAGAGCUCCCCGCCCAGCGCUGGAAAAAGGUAAGUUUAACCCCUUUUCCCCUUUCCAGAGCCGGGCGGGAGGGGGUCCCUGAGGGUGGGGGCACCCUCAGGGCACUAUAGUGCCAGGAAACCGAGUAUGUUUUCCUGGCACUAUAGUGGUCCUUUAAAUGUGAUACAUAAAUUGUGCUUUAUUUAUUAUUCUCUAUGAAAACCUCCUAUGGCAAAUCAUUUUUUUCACCAUAGAAAUGUGUUUGUAUUUUUUUUGGUACCCUGUUCUGCAAAAUAUGCAGUGUUUCUCUUUGUGUUUACC